AGAUAAGAGCACAUCUCAUUACUUAGAAAGCAUCGAUAAAUACUCUGACGAGCAUAGCAUUCCCCGUUAUUUUCGUUUCUCUAACUGUCUUGGAAGAUAGAAUAGCUCACAACUAACUCUACAAUCAAAACAUAUCACCAGCAAGACUCAAGCGUUCAUUAGACGAGUCUUUUCUUCGUGUGCGGUGUCAGUAUGAACUACAGAGGGUUUCUACUUUGUUAUGUUGUCAUCAUUGCUGUCGCCAAAUCAAUGCCAAGUGACUACCAUAAACAACUUACACAACGAUGGCAACUCAGGGAUGUUUUUAAAAGGGACGAAAUAGAUCCAUGUUCUUUAGUAGGAGAUGACUGUUCAACCAACGAAAGUCAUUGCACAGGAUACUGUGACGGACAAGCAGUUAUAUGUUAUCAAGGGGACUACACUUGCAGCGUUGUAGGUAACAACCUCGGUGCUCCUUAUAAAAGAAGAAAAGACAAUCCUAACUAAGCAGACACAAAAAUAAAAUUUAAAAUGCAAAUGAUCUCUAUUUUUUUA